rnacentral:rRNA from 1 species
UACAGAGGUGGCAAGCGUUGUUCGGAAUUACUGGGCGUAAAGGGCGCGUAGGCGGCCUACUGAGUCAGACGUGAAAUCCCCCGGCUUAACCUGGGAACUGCGUCUGAUACUGGAAGGCUUGAGUAUGGGAGAGGGAUGUAGAAUUCCAGGUGUAGCGGUGAAAUGCGUAGAUAUCUGGAGGAAUACCGGUGGCGAAGGCGGCAUCCUGGACCAUUACUGACGCUGAGGCGCGAAAGCUAGGGGAGCAAACGGG